rnacentral:tRNA from 1 species
GUUUUUAUAAUUUAUAUAAAAUAUUGAUCUUGUAAAUCAAAAAAAAAUUAUUUUUAAAAACU